rnacentral:lncRNA from 1 species
ACUUUGGAAAGAUGCUUUCUCUAAUUUUUAGAACCAAAACAGACCUGAAUGUGACCUUCGAUCUGUGGGGCCCUGGGAAUGGCUGAGCUGACUCUAUACAUACGUGUGCACACACUCUUCUAAAAGAAAUUACCGCAGCGCCCACCUGGACAAGGUCAUCGCACGUGUGACGCAGGAAUGUAAUUUAGCUGAAUCCAAGCAUACCACAAGGACAGUAAAAGCAGCCAUCAUACCUGGUGUCUUCCACAAGUGCUUUGGUCCUCUCAAUAUUCAGCUGUCAAAAGCCAUUGAUCAGCCCAGUUAUGACUGCAGAAAAGCAAGCAGUAUAAUGAGAAUGGCCUUUGCUGACCUCUUCAGAAACAAUGCAGAAAGAGAGCAUCGCCGGUGUACAUCAGGUAGCUAUAUGAAGAUCUACAAAAUAUGUUACCAGAAAAGAGCCUAAGUGAAAUGAGACCAUCUUAAACAAAUACAAGGCAUUUUCAGUUACUGCUCCAUAAGAUGGAAGUCAGCUAGAAGACCAAGAUUCAGUUUUGGAAGCUGUGGCUCAUACACAUGAAUGRUGGUCACAGCAGGUUCUGUGGGAAAAUGCCAGACUUCAUCCAGUUCAUGUAGGACGCUGAACUUGGUUAGUGCCCAAGAAGUUGUAAUAUCUUGCUAAUGGACAGUUUCAGAAAAAAWAAAUAAAUAAAUCUGUUAAGGGCUUAUUAUUUCUUGA